rnacentral:pre_miRNA from 1 species
AAUGGCACUGGAAGAAUUCACGGGUUUCUUACUAUUCCCGUGGUCUCUUAGUGGCAUCAC